UUCACUUUCACUUUCACUAACAGUCUGAUCAGAUGAGAGUUUAGAAGACUGACUGUCAUUCCUCUCGUUCUGCUAGAAGUGAAAGAGAUUUGAGAUCUGCUGUUCAACACAGUUCAGAGGAAGCAGAAAGGUCUACACGUAUAAUUUGAGCAGUGAGUCAGUGAAGGACGAUGGCAUCUGUUGAGCAGCAUUGUGACACACCAGAUGAGCCGGAAGCAAAAAAACGGAAAUACGAGCAAGGUAAUUGUAACGGGGUGAACAAGACGUGAGACGCACAGAUCCAUGUGCAAAGCUUUUAUUCAGAGACGUGGUCAUAAACACAGACAGGGUCGAACAACAGCAAUCAAGUACGGCAUGGGCAAGACACAGAGUAAUCCUAGGGCAAGCGUGGGUCUUUGAUCGGCGAAUGAUAUUCAGAGGGCUUGAGAAGAGGAGUAGUCCGUUAACAUGAGCAAUAAUCCAAACGAAGUAUAAACAGAGACAAGGGUUAAUACAAGAUACACAGGAAACGAGGCUAUAAACAAAAUAAACUAAACUUAGACUUAUAAAACACAGAAGGGCUCCGUAAUGUAGCUAUCACUGGGAGAGUGAUAAACGCUAGACAAUACUGGAACUAAGCAAACACAGAAUGGCUCAGUAAAGCCGCUAUCACUAGGAGAGUGCUAAACGCAGAACAAUACUCAGCGAUCUGUGAAAGGAAGUCCAUGGCUUAUGAAGAGUGUCUAAAGGGAUUCAGCUGUGUAUGUGCAAUCAGUGCAAUGGAUGAUGGGAAAUGCAGUCCAAUGUGAUGUGUGGUGUAAGAGUCAAUAUGAUGGAGAGGGCGACCUCUUGUGGCAGUUGGACAAAAGACCACGAACCGGAUUCGUGACAGUAAUGAAGAACAGAAUACCAGCAAUGUUAAAAUUCUGUAAUGUACUUAAAGUGGUCUAUUGUCACUCACUAAUUUUGUGCUUAAAGGGUUACUCCACCUCAAAAUGAAAAUUGUGUCAUUAAUCACUUACCCCCAUGUUGUUCCAAACCAGUAAAAGCUUAGUUCGUCUUCGGGAACACAAUUUAAAUGGGUCAUCGGAUGCCCAUUUUCCACAAAUUGAUAUGAUUCAUUAGGGUCUUAAUGAAAAGUCUAUAACAUACUUUGGUUAAAAUUUCUCAACGGUAGUGUAAAAAACAUCUUCUUUACCCUGUCAAAAUCAGCUCUGUUUUCAGCAAGCCGUUAUUUAGUCCAUGUUGCUUUAAAUGCUAAUGAGCUCUGCUGACCCCGCCCCUCUCUUCCGUGGGGUGACCAGAGCCAUAGAGAGAGAGUUGGGACAACUCCGUUGACUCCAAUGGACCGUUUUUUUACAACAAUGGUGGAUCAUGGAGCCGCUCAAUAGUUCCCGGAAGUUAGCGCUCAUACUAUCAGCGCCAUAGAGAUGCAGAUGAAGAGACCGCUGUGAUGAACUUUUAAAUGAACAACCACCUGAAGACUCCCUGUAAUGAGAAAUCACCCUCACAAUGAGUCUCUUCACUGGGUUUGGCGAGUCUUUCCCUGUUCUUUGUGAAAAAGAGCCAGUUCCCAAGUAUGAUUACAUCACAUUUUGUUGGUGUAAUCUAUAGAUUGCUCCUGCUGACUACAUCCAGCCUCUCAUGAAGACUUCAGAUGACCAGCAGCUGUGAAGAGAUGACGCCAGCCCUUGAGAGGACUUCAGAUGAAGCUGACUCUAAAUAAACAUACAAAACUGAUCAAUUUUCCUUGCAUUGUAAUCAACAUGAUCAAAUCACGUAACCAUUGCUUUAAUUUAUUCAUUGUUUCUGAACUCAUGACAUUACUUAACUGCAUGAUUUGUAUAGCCUAAUUUUAGAACAUUUCUGCCAUAUGAGCAUUACUUUGACACAGUUACACCUGUUAACAGAACUCUUAUUGUAAUGUAGAAACAUUAAUUUUCUAUAAAACUGCUUUGAAACAAUGUUUGUAAUAAAAAGUGCUAUACAAAUAAAUGUGAA